UAAACGAGUGGACUCAACUUCCAUGAAUAUCUUCUCUACUUUUUCUCUUUUCUUUUUCAUUUCCUUUACCUUUAAUUUCUUCUAUAUUUUUUUCUUACUCCUUACCCGUUAUAACAGAAACGAUUGUAUAUAAAUCCAUAGAUUGAUUUUGGGUUUACAUGAAAUCAAAAACAAUUCUAUCCAUAUAUCUGUCAACCACAUCCAAUGAGAGAGCGAAGUAUUUUGGUUUUGAAAUCAUGUCCUUACUGAAGAAGAAAAGGCACCCAUCUUCUCUAACAUCUCAUUCUUUUGGCAUGAAGCUUGGGCUAAAAUUUCAACCAAACAUAAAUAGAUUUCCAAGAACAAGAGGACUCGGGUUCGGUUACCAGAAUUUUAAAGCUCAAGUCUGCAUUUUUAUCAGACAAGUAGAAGGCAACCACGUCAUGCCUGCAAAAUUGCGCGUGGAUUGUCUCAAUGCUUAACCUUGUCAGCAAAGAAAUUGAAAAUUAUCAUUGUCUAUGAUAAGAAUAUUGGAAGAUGGACUCCCGAUAUGAAAUCCAACUCAAAAAGGAGUAAUCUACACCAAAGGCAAUAAAAGGCACUGCCAUAAGCUCACAAAGUGCGGACCGCACAUGAAUUGUGCAACCGCAAAACCUGGGCUAGGAACAAAGUUCAGAGAAUGUGCAAAUUCUCAAGUUUCAAGUCCCUUAGAAGUGCGGACCGCACAAGAAUUGUGCGGCCGCAGAAGUAAAAGUGCGGACCGCAGAACCAAGUUGCAACCGCAGUUACAAAUCUGCGGACUGCAGAAAGAUUGCUUCGCGGCCGCAUAUCAGAAUUAUGCGGCCGCAGACCUCCAAGUCCUGAUAAGUUGAAGAAAUAUGCGGACCGCACAUGAAAUUGUGCGGCCACAGAACCUCCCGAGGGGUAUUUUUGUCCGAAAUUAUCAGCUUUAUAUAAAUAGAAGAGUUUCACGAAAUUAGGUCAACUUUUGACAUCAGUAGCUACAAUAGGCGUUUCUCUUUACUUCUUUUAGUAGUUUUUCAUAUUUUGGGAUAUUUUAACAUAGAUUUUAUCAUUUUGAUUUCACAAUA